rnacentral:rRNA from 1 species
GGGAUAACAUUCUGAAAAGAAUGCUAAUACCGCAUGACAUAUCGGAACCACAUGGUUCUGAUAUCAAAGAUUUUAUCGCUUGAAGAUGGACUCGCGUCCGAUUAGUUAGUUGGUGAGGUAACGGCUCACCAAGACCGCGAUCGGUAGCCGGACUGAGAGGUUGAACGGCCACAUUGGGACUGAGACACGGCCCAGACUCCUACGGGAGGCAGCAGUGGGGGAUAUUGCGCAAUGGGGGCAACCCUGACGCAGCAACGCCGCGUGAAGGAUGAAGGUUUUCGGAUUGUAAACUUCUUUUAUUAAGGACGAAAAAUGACGGUACUUAAUGAAUAAGCUCCGGCUAACUACGUGCCAGCAGCCGCGGUAAUACGUAGGGAGCAAGCGUUGUCCGGAUUUACUGGGUGUAAAGGGUGCGUAGGCGGCUUUGCAAGUCAGAUGUGAAAUCUAUGGGCUCAACCCAUAAACUGCAUUUGAAACUGUAGAGCUUGAGUGAAGUAGAGGCAGGCGGAAUUCCCCGUGUAGCGGUGAAAUGCGUAGAGAUGGGGAGGAACACCAGUGGCGAAGGCGGCCUGCUGGGCUUUAACUGACGCUGAGGCACGAAAGCGUGGGUAGCAAACAGGAUUAGAUACCCUGGUAGUCCACGCUGUAAACGAUGAAUACUAGGUGUGGGGGGUCUGACCCCUUCCGUGCCGGAG